rnacentral:rRNA from 1 species
GACGAACGCUGGCGGCGUGCUUAACACAUGCAAGUCGAACGGAAAGGCCCUGCUUUUGUGGGGUGCUCGAGUGGCGAACGGGUGAGUAACACGUGAGUAACCUGCCCUUGACUUUGGGAUAACUUCAGGAAACUGGGGCUAAUACCGGAUAGGAGCUCCUGCUGCAUUGUGUGGGUUGGAUAGUUUCGGCGGUUGGGGAUGGACUCGCGGCUUAUCAGCUUGUUUGUGGGGUAGUGGCUUACCAAGGCUUUGACGGGUAGCCGGCCUGUGAGGGUGACCGGGGACAAUGGGACUGAGAUAAGGACCAGAAGGCUACGGGAGGCAGGAGUGGGGAAUAGUGCACAAUGGGGGGAAGGCGGAUGCAGAAACGGAGGGGGCGGGAUGACGGCCUUCGGGUUGUAAACAGAUUUCGAAUGUGACGAAGCGUGAGUGACGGUAAUGGGUAAAGAAGCACCGGCUAACUACGUG